rnacentral:rRNA from 1 species
CGGUCGAAGUUCACACAUGCAAGUCGAGCGGUGAAGGGAGCUUGCUCCUGGAUUCAGCGGCGGACGGGUGAGUAAUGCCUAGGAAUCUGCCUGGUAGUGGGGGAUAACGUCCGGAAACGGGCGCUAAUACCGCAUACGUCCUGAGGGAGAAAGUGGGGGAUCUUCGGACCUCACGCUAUCAGAUGAGCCUAGGUCGGAUUAGCUAGUUGGUGGGGUAAAGGCCUACCAAGGCGACGAUCCGUAACUGGUCUGAGAGGAUGAUCAGUCACACUGGAACUGAGACACGGUCCAGACUCCUACGGGAGGCAGCAGUGGGGAAUAUUGGACAAUGGGCGAAAGCCUGAUCCAGCCAUGCCGCGUGUGUGAAGAAGGUCUUCGGAUUGUAAAGCACUUUAAGUUGGGAGGAAGAGCAGUAAGUUAAUACCUUGCUGUUUUGACGUUACCAACAGAAUAAGCACCGGCUAACUUCGUGCCAGCAGCCGCGGUAAUACGAAGGGUGCAAGCGUUAAUCGGAAUUACUGGGCGUAAAGCGCGCGUAGGUGGUUCAGCAAGUUGGAUGUGAAAUCCCCGGGCUCAACCUGGGAACUGCAUCCAAAACUACUGAGCUAGAGUACGGUAGAGGGUGGUGGAAUUUCCUGUGUAGCGGUGAAAUGCGUAGAUAUAGGAAGGAACACCAGUGGCGAAGGCGACCAC